rnacentral:misc_RNA from 1 species
GAUGAAGAACGCAGCGAAAUGCGAUAAGUAAUGUGAAUUGCAGAAUUCAGUGAAUCAUCGAAUCUUUGAACGCACAUUGCGCCCGCCAGUAUUCUGGCGGGCAUGCCAGUUCGAGCGUCAUUUCAACCAUCAAGCCCCCGGCUUGUGUUGGGGACCUGCGGCUGCCGCAGGCCCUGAAAACCAGUGGCGGGCUCGCUGUCACACCGAGCGUAGUAGAUUUUCAUCUCGCUCAGGGCGUGCUGCGGGUUCCGGCCGUAAAAAGCCUUAUUUACCCAAGGUUGACCUCGGAUCAGGUAGGAAGACCCGCUGAACUUAAGCAUAUCAAUAAGCGGAGGA